UUUUAUGGAGAGUUUGAUCCUGGCUCAGGAUGAACGCUGGCGGCGUGCCUAAUACAUGCAAGUCGAGCGAACGGACGAGAAGCUUGCUUCUCUGAUGUUAGCGGCGGACGGGUGAGUAACACGUGGAUAACCUACCUAUAAGACUGGGAUAACUUCGGGAAACCGGAGCUAAUACCGGAUAAUAUUUUGAACCGCAUGGUUCAAAAGUGAAAGACGGUCUUGCUGUCACUUAUAGAUGGAUCCG
rnacentral:rRNA from 1 species